UACAGAGGGUGCAAGCGUUAAUCGGAAUUACUGGGCGUAAAGCGUGCGCAGGCGGUUCGUUAAGUUCGAUGUGAAAGCCCCGGGCUCAACCUGGGAAUGGCAUUGAAAACUGGCGGGCUUGAGUCUGGCAGAGGGGGGUGGAAUUCCGCGUGUAGCAGUGAAAUGCGUAGAGAUGCGGAGGAACACCGAUGGCGAAGGCAGCCCCCUGGGCCAAGACUGACGCUCAGGCACGAAAGCGUGGGGAGCAAACAGG
rnacentral:rRNA from 1 species